UACGUAGGGAGCAAGCGUUGUCCGGAAUCAUUGGGCGUAAAGCGCGCGUAGGCGGCCUCGUAAGUCCGUUGUGAAAGUCAAAGGCUCAACCUUUGAAAGCCGAUGGAUACUGCAGGGCUAGAGUCCGGAAGAGGCGAGUGGAAUUCCUGGUGUAGCGGUGGAAUGCGCAGAUAUCGGGAGGAACACCAAUGGCGAAGGCAGCUCGCUGGGACGUGACUGACGCUGAGGCGCGAAAGCGUGGGGAGCAACAGG
rnacentral:rRNA from 1 species